rnacentral:lncRNA from 1 species
GGAAUUAAAAAAUAACCCAAAGAGGAAGACAUUCAGGAUCAUCCCAUCAAAACUAAAAAUGAAAAAAAUAAUGAUUGAAUUAUUGAAACUUGCGUUGAAGUUGAGAUAUUGCUAAUAUCUGCCCAUACAUACAUCGAUACACUUGCUGCUCUGUUGUAAUAAAUUGGGAUACAGGCAAGGGGAUGUUGAAUGCUGCUGCUGCUUUCAGAAAUCGAGGUUGAAUGUCCUCUAUAUUUCUGUAUUGCACAGGUUUAACUGAAAAAGUUAUAACAAUGUUGUAAAGUUAAUUAUGUAAUCAACUCCCAAACUAAAUAUCAGAAUCUGCGAACCUAAAACUUGCCCAUUUGUUACUUUGAACAAACAUAGCACACGGCUUUAAAUGAGAUAGCUCACGCACAGCGCAUGGCACCCGAAUUCAAGGAUAAAUUCCACAUUGUAGUUUCAAUGGUGAGCAGGGUAGUUGGGCGACUCAUAACUGCGUUCUUUCUUUUCCGUUGACGCAACUUUUUCCUCCUUUAAGUAAACCUUUG